rnacentral:rRNA from 1 species
CCUACGGGAGGCAGCAGUGGGGAAUAUUGGGCAAUGGAGGCAACUCUGACCCAGCAACGCCGCGUGAAUGAUGAAGGUCUUCGGAUUGUAAAGUUCUUUUCUAAGGGAAGAAGAAAGUGACGGUACCUUAGGAAUAAGCCUCGGCUAACUACGUGCCAGCAGCCGCGGUAAUACGUAGGAGGCAAGCGUUAUCCGGAAUGACUGGGCGUAAAGGGUGCGUAGGUGGUUUGACAAGUUAGUAGCGCAACUCCGGAGCUCAACUUCGGAACUACUACUAAAACUGUUGGACUUGAGUGCAGGAGGGGCAAUCGGAAUUCCUAGUGUAGCGGUGGAAUGCGUAGAUAUUAGGAGGAACACCAGUGGCGAAGGCGGAUUGCUGGACUGUAACUGACACUGAGGCACGAAAGCGUGGGGAGCGAACAGGAUUAGAUACCCCAGUAGUC